rnacentral:rRNA from 1 species
CCUACGGGUGGCAGCAGUAGGGAAUCUUCCGCAAUGGACGAAAGUCUGACGGAGCAACGCCGCGUGAGUGAAGAAGGUUUUCGGAUCGUAAAACUCUGUUGUUAAAGAAGAACAAGGAUGAGAGUAACUGCUCAUCCCCUGACGGUAUUUAACCAGAAAGCCACGGCUAACUACGUGCCAGCAGCCGCGGUAAUACGUAGGUGGCAAGCGUUGUCCGGAUUUAUUGGGCGUAAGGCGAGCGCAGGCGGUUCUUUAAGUCUGAUGUGAAAGCCCCCGGCUCAACCGGGGAGGGUCAUUGGAAACUGGAGAACUUGAGUGCAGAAGAGGAGAGUGGAAUUCCACGUGUAGCGGUGAAAUGCGUAGAUAUGUGGAGGAACACCAGUGGCGAAGGCGACUCUCUGGUCUGUAACUGACGCUGAGGCUCGAAAGCGUAGGGAGCAAACAGGAUUAGAUACCCGUGUAGUC